GCCGGAGUGGUGGAACUGGUAGACGCGUCGGACUCAAAAUCCGAUGAGCAUCAGGCUCGUGGGGGUUCGAUUCCCCCCUCCGGCACCA
rnacentral:tRNA from 1 species